CUGCAGCUCAAGUGGUGACCGCUAUUAUUGGGCCUAAAACGUUCGUAGCCGGCUGAGUAAAUGCUUGGGUAAAUCGUGCCGCUUAACGGUACGAAUUCCGGGUAGACUGCUCAGCUUGAGACCGGGAGAAGCUAGAGGUACUCCUGGGGUAGAGGUGAAAUUCUGUAAUCCUGGGGGGACCACCAGUGGCGAAGGCGUCUAGCUAGAACCGGUCUGACGGUGAGGGACGAAAGCUGGGGUAGCGAACCGGAUUAGAUACCCGAGUAGUCC
rnacentral:rRNA from 1 species